GAUAUGAACUCUCCGAAAAAAUUACGCUGUUAUCCCUAAGGUAAGUUAAUCUUAUAAUCAAAAAUUCUGGAUCAAAAAAACAUAAAUUAAUGAAUAAAAUAUUAAAAGUUAAAUAAAUUUUAAUGUCACCCCAACAAAACUUUAUAUUCUAAAAAAUUGUUUAAUAAACAAAAAACAGUAAUUAAUAAAUAAAGUAAACUUCUAUAGGGUCUUCUCGUCCUAUAAAAAAAUUUUAGCUUUUUAACUAAAAAAUUAAGUUCAAGAUAAUUAAAAAAAGAAAGUUUAUCUUUCAUCAAACCAUUCAUACUAGCCUUCAAUUAAAAGACAAAUGAUUAUGCUACCUUCGUACAGUUAAAAUACCGCAGCCUUUUAAUUCAUAAAAAUCAAUGGGCAGGUCUGAUCUUAAAUUAAAAUCAAAAGACC
rnacentral:rRNA from 1 species